rnacentral:rRNA from 1 species
UUGGAGGGCAAGUCUGGUGCCAGCAGCCGCGGUAAUUCCAGCUCCAAUAGCGUAUAUUAAAGUUGUUGCAGUUAAAAAGCUCGUAGUUGAACUUCGGGGUUUACCCAUUGGUCAGGCUUAAUUGUCUGCACUGGUGAGAUGAAUCUCUACCUUCUGAGGAACUUUCAUGCCAUUUAUUUGGUGUGAUGGGAAAUCAGGACUGUUACUUUGAAAAAAUUAGAGUGUUUAAAGCAGGCUAACGUCUGAAUACAUUAGCAUGGAAUAAUGAAAUAGGACGGACUGAUUCUAUUUCGUUGGUUUCUAGGAUCACCGUAAUGAUUAAUAGGGAUAGUUGGGGGCAUUAGUAUUCAAUUGUCAGAGGUGAAAUUCUUGGAUUUAUUGAAGACUAACUACUGCGAAAGCAUUUGCCAAGGAUGUUUUCAUUAAUCAAGAACGAAAGUUAGGGGAUCGAAGACGAUCAGAUACCGUCGUAGUCUUAACCAUAAACUAUGCCGACUAGGGAUCGGACGAAGUUAAUUUUAUAAUGACGCGUUCGGCACCUUACGGGAAACCAAAG